CCUUUUGUCGAGGGGCUUGAAGUUCAAGAAGCGACACUAAUGCCGAAUCGAACAAGGAGAAGAAAGUGAAUUCGCCUAGGAAGAGGGGCGACCCAUUUCCAGUUGCAGCCAUACCCUUGGCCCGCUCGGAAUACCUUCAAAGCACCAAGAAGACAAAAUCUCAGCUCCAGGGGCCCAGGGGCGAGAGGGAUGUAAACGCACGCGAUCGUUGCGUUGUCGUGCUCUUAAGCCCAUAAUUUAAUGGGAAAAUGACUUCAGCUGUCGCCGCUUUACAGCGUUAACGCAGUAAAGUGGCGACAGUGUCUGAUUUUCCGCAUUCGGCCAGCAGCGGUGCGGUAAGCAAACGCGCACAUCAGCCCCAUGGACUAUCGAGAAAUAAAUUACUAUGGCGUCACGUUUUGGACUCGUUGCUAUCCGUACCUGGCCGACUGUCGUACCUUACCGUACAAGAGUCCUGUUAUUACGAGCAAUCAAAUUCUGCCUCAGCAGCCUUCUCACAGCCUCAUAAUUCCCCCUGUUUCAUGGCCUAGUUAGAAGGCUGUGGGAGUAGCAUUCAUCAGCAUACAUAUUGUCCAUACAGACUCUGUGCAGAUGAGCACCAACCGCGUCACAACCUCCAUACUGCGUAGUCACCCCGUGCAGCAGCGUGGCAAGGAGAUGCGAAAAACACACUUCACGGGUUGGGCUGCCCAGAUUCGGACGGCUGCAUGCUGUUGCACCAGUCCUUGGGUUGCGUACCUGGACAUCCAUCAUAUGCAAUAGAAACAUAUUAUAUAUAUUUUAUUAAUUAUUGUUAUAUAUAAUUAUUUAAUUAUGAUUUGGAUAUGCGCUGUAUAAUUUGUAUUUUUUUCUCCCCGACUGCUUUGCGUCCUUUCGGACUUUCGCCUGGAGGACUACCGAACGAUUUGGACCCAUCCGCAAGCAGUAGCUAAUUAUUUUUAUCUAAGUAGACGCGCCAUGCAUCCCAUGCCUCUCUCCUGAGUAGAUAGCGCUUCAACGUUGGCGCAGCGGAGCCUGUGUCUUGCGCCAUCGGAUGAGCAAUAACCGCGUCACAACCUCCAUACUGCGUAGUCACCCCGUGCAGCAGCGUGGCAAGGAGAUGCGAAAAACACACUUCACGGGUUGGGCUGC
rnacentral:lncRNA from 1 species